GUCCUGUGGCUUUGCCUGGCCGCACAUUCCAGGGCACGGCGAAGGGCGGGGCCCGUCGGCCCAAGUCCUUGUAGGGAAAUCGAGGAGAGGGCUGCGGGCCCACGUGACUGACCCUCGCCCCGCCCCGAAGCCGGGCUCCAGCUUGUGGGCGGUAGUGCGCCUGCGCUUGACGCCCCGCGCGGGGUCUGGGUCUCCGCCUGAGGGCCCCGGAGCAGUGCGCGUAUCCCGGGAGCGGAUCUUGAUGCUAGCUCUGUGUGCAGUGUAAUUUUAUUAAGAGUCCCGCCCCCUCCAUACGGGAGGAAACGUGUGUCCCUGGGGCCCUCAGCCAAGCCUCCACUAUCUUUUUGGCCCAGACGGAUUUCCCAGGUCACAAGUGGCUGGAGACUUCCUCUUGAAAAACAUUUGCCGUCGUUUUUCCCUGGCAGAGCCCCUUUGACCCUGGCUAACAAGGACAGCCUGACUUGGAUCCCACUAUGCAGGAAGGAAGGCGACUCUUCCCCGCACCUCUUGCUACGAUUAGGACUUGCGACUUGGUGAAAACAGGAAUCAAAACUUGGGCCUAUUUCUCCUGAGGUCUGCUUGCCUAGAACAAUUCGUAACGAUGAAUCUUAUUAAAAAGAGAAAGUCCUCCCCGACUUUAUCUUUUUCCGCCCAGAAUCCGAUAAGGAAGACUUGUUCUGGCCCCCUCAGCUCUCUGACCUCACCUACCAGAGGAGAGAGUGGGAUCCUCUAACACUCGAGCCGUCAUCCCAGCACUAGGGGACAGUGACCAGUGUGGCUCCCGUGGCCAGAACCCUUCUGAAGUUUGGGUUGCCCUGUGGUCUUCGCCUUCAAAGCAGGCCGCCACUUGAAUCCUUCUGGAACGGACAGUGUUGCUGUAAACGCCGCGGAAUAGUAUCUUCUAAGUAUUCGUAGCUUCUUUCUUGAGGGAUCUCGGGAACGUUCCGUGUAUUAACCACUAACGUAUUCCAAAGUUAACUUCGUGGUAAAGUCGCUGGGGAAAAAAAUAACUGCUCCAGUUCCACAGGUGAUUGAAACAAAAGUGAUCUGUUUCCCAAACUUCCUUGAUGGUAAAGAAUGACUUGGGGUACUAAUUAAAAAUAAAAAUAAUUGCGUCAUUUCCAACCUACUAAAUCGGAGUCUUUAAGGGCAGGUCCUGGGAAGCCAUCCAUGUAAUGGGGGUCCUAAGUGGGCUCUUAUCGGCGAGGGCGGGGACUCAGCGAGAGGGCUGGCAGCGACGGGACAAACCCCAGACGGCUGCGCGGAUGCGUUUGUUCCUGGAGCUUGCGAGCACUUGCAAUGCAUGGACACCUCCACAGGGUGGUGGCCUGCCACCACGAGAGCACCAGCUCCGCCAGCGUCCUCUCCAGAGGACACUUUAGAGCAGAAAGAAACGGACAGUUCAGUCUUCCCCUCAGCUUGAAGGCAGCAUUCUUUUGCUUCUCUUUGAGUCAGGUAAUUGUUUUGUCUUCCUUCCACUCAGUCAGCAGGUAUUAAACAGCAACCGCAUUGCCAAGCACUGUGGUGGGGGCUGUGGCUUAUGCUUUCCGGAGCAGAACAUAGUUGUUGCUACCUUGGGGAUGGGGGCGGGAGGAAUAGAAAAAAUGCGGAGUUAGCGGAGUAUCAGGGAACAAGGGUGGAACAGAUAUAAUAAUUGCAGUACAGUUAGUUAGGGCCUAUUGAAGGAGCACAAACGAAGCGUAAA
rnacentral:lncRNA from 1 species